UUGGUCAAUAAUCAGAAGUCUGCGGUCAUCUUCAGCCCAAGAAUGAAGGCCUAGGUUAGAUCAGCAAUCAGGAAGAUCCUGGGGAUCCGGGAGCAGACUGGGAUAUUAUCCUACCUUGGAGUUCCGAUCACGGGUCGUCGUCUUUGCGGGCUAAGUGCAAACCUCUGGAGCAGCAGGUCCAGGAGCAUCUUCUGGGUUGACAGGCUAAUGCCCUAUCCUUCAUGGGUAGGAUGACUAUGGUG
rnacentral:lncRNA from 1 species